GCGGCCGCUCUCCGCAGGCAGCGCCCGGGAGCUGCGGCCGAUGGGCCACGAAGGGCCAAACACAAACCCCUAGGAAUCACGGGUCGGAUCACGGCGUGGCUCAUCCCGAGUAUUCGCAGGCAGAAGCUACUCUGAACAACGGAAGAAUCCCACCUCCUGUCCUGCUCUCUCCAGCGGACUCUCACGGGGCUCCCCCCACUCUCCCAGGACCCUCCAGCGGGUUCUCCUCUGAGCCUCUAAGUUGUCCUUGGGACUCAGCUCAGAAUCAACUGCUUCCCGUCGCUGCGAUCAGAAGCAAGCAGCCACUCUCAGACUUCUCACCUCGUUCUCCUGUUUUCAAGUGGCUUGGCCUGCUCCUCCAAAUGUCCCCAAUUUAAAGGCCCUGGGACCUCGGAGGUCCUCUCGUCCAGCGUCCCUCUCAGUCUGGGGAUCCAGCGGCGUCUCCAUGCGGUGGUCUGCACCCCCCUGCCCACCUGGGGCUGCAGUGUCUCCACCCAACCACCACAUCAGCCUGUGGGCGACACACAGAUAUUUCCUCCCAAACCUACAGGCUUUGCGCAAGCCGGUGACGGACCACUGGCUUCCCUGACUGCUCGACCAGCCUUUGACUCUUUCUUGGGUCACAGGUCCCUUGGAGAAUGUGCUGCAAACUAAAACACACACCUGCACAAACUGUCCAGGCCGCUGUCGGUAGCUCCUAAGCCCUUCAAGUCCAUGCAGAGACCCACGUUCAGAAGAGCUGCUCUGGACUGUUCUAGAAUUGAGGACUGUCCGCGGGGUCGCAGGAUGCCGCCCUCGAUGCUGCGCCCCCGCUCCUUGCCAUGGGCCUGUGCCCUCCACGCUCUCCUUCAACCCGCUGAGCUGAGCUGACAGGACGUGGAAGCCAGCCGUGUGGACCGGCAAGGCAGGUAUGAAACAGCUCAAAUGCAGAUUUUAGCAGAUGUGAGGUGUUGGGAGAGUCCGUUACAGGAGUCAUCAAAAGUCAGUGGCAACAGCAACCAGAGAGCCCCACACACAACCUCAACGGAAGCAGAGCCGCCCGGUCUCAGAGCACAGGGUGGGCACGGCCCCCCCUCUGUCCUGGGAGGAACUCGGCCACGCGGGGCAGGAGCGGUGAUGGGCACCACGCUGUCGCCGUGCCAGCCCGAACGCCGCUUCUAACGAACUAAUUAAUUCUGCGAAAACAUUAGGACAAAGACGCGCACCACCCAACUGGGGUCACCACACCAAAGCGAUAGCAACACAGACCGUGGAAGACAUUUCUAAAGAGACCGGUGUCACCAAACAUGAACGGUCUACUCCACACAUUAAAAUAUAUUGCAAACUACUUGUUAUUAAAGCCUUAAAAUAAUUUGUUGGACAGAUGGCUUCGUUCUCUAAAGUCUGACCUUCCCUCAAAAGAAAAAACACACCAACAAAUCUGGACUCCAGCCAGCGAUCCCGUGUUAGGGAGAUGCUGAGGCGCUCAAACCAGACUUCCGUAGCACUGACCCCACACCGUGCGGACACACACACUGCCCAUCGCCCCCUACGAACUCCGAGCGCUGGCAGUGCACGUGCUAAUCAGCCGCAUCUGGGGGCGAGGUGAUGCCUGGGGAUAGCCCUCGAUCUGAGGAUGAGUUAAGGCUCUCCCCGACACCUGUCCAGAAUGAUGGCACCAGAGGCUCUGCCAGCGGGUGGAGACAGGGGAAGGUUGGGUUAAUGACUCCACGAGGAUGCGACUGCCCGAAACUACAUCACAUCGAUCUCAAUGUGAUGAAGAACGCCUAGAAACUGAGGUCAAACUCCUCCACUUUGUAAAAGACCUUGUCAUGUCCAUGAAAGAUUUCUUGUUCCUUUGAAAGAAGUAGGUGCUAAACUGCACAUCACAAGACUAGAUGCAUCAGAGACAAGAGCUCCUGCAACCACCUGCUGUUACUCUCAUCUAAGGAGAGACAGGCAGAAACUCCACCACCUUGCUAAGGACACUGGCCACCUCAGCAGCGGCUGUCAAGGCGAAGAAGACAGGUGCUGGGGACCCAGCCUGCAGGACUCAGUGAGCCCGGCACACAGGUGCUGGGGACCGGCCUGCGGGGCACCCACUGCAUCUGCACACCUUUUCCUUCAAGGCCACAGGCUCAUUUCCAGAAAAACACGACAACUAAGAUUCCUUCCAUCCUCCUGUUGGGUUUUUAUUUUAUGACUCGCAAUUCAUGUGCAAAGUUGCUAAGUAACAGGAAGGGGCAAAUAGUAAACACCUGCUUUGCAUUUUACUAAUCACUGCAAGGCAGACAUUUUUAUAAAUCUCUGUUCUUGCACUAAAAAUGUAUUCAGAUAUCUGUGGGCCCCCGUCUUCCCUAAAACAUUUCAACAAUGUGUUAAGCUUGGGAAAGAAUUACACUUUUACUAAACAUCUCCGUCCUCUGCGAGCUCUCGCAUGUUAUGGAGAAAAAAAC